AUCCUGGCUCAGGAUGAACGCUAGCUACAGGCUUAACACAUGCAAGUCGAGGGGAAACGAUAUUGGAAGCUUGCUUCUGAUAGGCGUCGACCGGCGCACGGGUGAGUAACGCGUAUCCAACCUGCCCAUCACUUGGGGAUAACCUUGCGAAAGUAAGACUAAUACCCAAUGACGUCUCUAGAAGACAUCUGAAAGAGAUUAAAGAUUUAUCGGUGAUGGAUGGGGAUGCGUCUGAUUAGCUUGUUGGCGGGGUAACGGCCCACCAAGGCGACGAUCAGUAGGGGUUCUGAGAGGAAGGUCCCCCACAUUGGAACUGAGACACGGUCCAAACUCCUACGGGAGGCAGCAGUGAGGAAUAUUGGUCAAUGGACGAGAGUCUGAACCAGCCAAGUAGCGUGCAGGAUGACGGCCCUAUGGGUUGUAAACUGCUUUUAUAAGGGAAUAAAGUGAGUCUCGUGGGACUUUUUGCAUGUACCUUAUGAAUAAGGACCGGCUAAUUCCGUG
rnacentral:rRNA from 1 species